CCUACGGGAGGCAGCAGUGAGGAAUAUUGGUCAAUGGACGAGAGUCUGAACCAGCCAAGUAGCGUGAAGGAUGACUGCCCUAUGGGUUGUAAACUUCUUUUAUAUGGGAAUAAAACAGGGUAUGCAUACCCUCUUGUAUGUACCAUAUGAAUAAGGAUCGGCUAACUCCGUGCCAGCAGCCGCGGUAAUACGGAGGAUCCGAGCGUUAUCCGGAUUUAUUGGGUGUAAAGGGAGCGUAGGCGGAUUGUUAAGUCAGUUGUGAAAGUUUGCGGCUCAACCGUAAAAUUGCAGUUGAAACUGGCAGUCUUGAGUACAGGAGAGGUAGGCGGAAUUCGUGGUGUAGCGGUGAAAUGCAUAGAUAUCACGCAGAACUCCGAUUGCGAAGGCAGCUUACUAAACUAUAACUGACACUGAGGCACGAAAGCGUGGGGAGCAAACAGGAUUAGAUACCCUAGUAGUC
rnacentral:rRNA from 1 species